rnacentral:rRNA from 1 species
GAUGAACGCUGGCGGCGUGCCUAAUACAUGCAAGUCGAGCGAACAGACGAGGAGCUUGCUCCUCUGACGUUAGCGGCGGACGGGUGAGUAACACGUGGAUAACCUACCUAUAAGACUGGGAUAACUUCGGGAAACCGGAGCUAAUACCGGAUAAUAUAUUGAACCGCAUGGUUCAAUAGUGAAAGACGGUUUUGCUGUCACUUAUAGAUGGAUCCGCGCCGCAUUAGCUAGUUGGUAAGGUAACGGCUUACCAAGGCAACGAUGCGUAGCCGACCUGAGAGGGUGAUCGGCCACCCUAGAACUGAGCCGCGGUCCAGACUCCUACGGGAGGCAGCAGUAGGGAAUCUUCCGCAAUGGGCGAAAGCCUGACGGAGCAACGCCGCGUGAGUGAUGAAGGUCUUCGGAUCGUAAAACUCUGUUAUUAGGGAAGAACAAAUGUGUAAGUAACUAUGCACGUCUUGACGGUACCUAAUCAGAAAGCCACGGCUAACUACGUG